rnacentral:rRNA from 1 species
UACGGGGGGAGCAAGCGUUGUUCGGAUUUACUGGGCGUAAAGGGCGCGUAGGCGGCGUGACAAGUCACUUGUGAAAUCUCCGGGCUUAACUCUGAACGGUCAAGUGAUACUGUCGUGCUAGAGUACAGAAGGGGCAACUGGAAUUCUCGGUGUAGCGGUGAAAUGCGUAGAUAUCGAGAGGAACACCUGCGGCGAAGGCGGGUUGCUGGGCUGAUACUGACGCUGAGGCGCGAAAGCUAGGGGAGCGAACGGG